UCGCUCGGCGUUUAAUCGUCCCUACUCCGUCACAUAGAGUAUCAGUUAAACUCCUAAUAAAAUAAAUAUCUGUUUUCUUCCUUUUUAGUCGAUGCUAUUUGAAGAGAUAUUAAAGUUUCUGUCUCUGUCAUAAAUAGAUAAAUUAAUUCAUAGAAUAAUCAGAUGCCCACAUUAUUAUAUAAAAUUUAUUUUCAUCUCCCGCCUCCAAAUUCAAGAAAUUCAAAUACGUUUUACAGUGUGUUUGCUAGAACUAACAUAUGUAAUAAUUGUGUACCUAUAUGUAUUAUCGUAUAAAUUUUAUGUGAGAAUUGUACGAUGAAAUUUGAAGCAAAGUAGAUAUUUUUGAUAUGAAUAUGGUUCAGUUUACUGAAAAUUGUUAAACAUGUUUGUUUGAAUCCUACUAUGUACAACUUGUUCGUUAUAUAAAUAUACAUUACUAUUAUGAUUAUUAUUAUUUUCGCCUUAUUUUGGUACAAAAAUUUCAUUUGAUUCCACACCGCAACUUAAUGGAUGUCUCAGAGGAGGAAGUAAUACACUUUUCUGUGAGGUAUAUAAAUUAGACGGUCUUGAAAAUGACUGUUUUCUGUCAAGUCUCGUUCAUUAGUAUUACCGACGUUAACCUGAACCUGUUGUAUUUGAUCUGUUUUUAGUCAUUAGGCUUGUUUCUUGUUUUAUAAACUUUCAUUGACUCUCCGACAAAAUGUAGAAGUGGACGCCUAUGUACUGAUAAGUCAUUGCAAUAAUGAUUAUUGUUUGUUUUAUAGUAUCUCUACUUAAUAAAAUCAUUGUUUGAAAAUAUAUUCUGGCGUUGAACAUUGUUAUUGGGGUUAAGUCUUACGAUUCCGGGAACCCCCUAGUGCGCUGCAUUCUAUAAAAUAUGUUAAAAAUGGAUGAAAAGGAAUAUAACCAGUGUCUUAAAACCCAUGGAUACAUGUUAAGUGAAGAAGAAAGUGACAAUGAAUGUAAAUCCCAGUUAGAUGCAAUUUACGAACGGUAUAAACCUCCACCUAUUGAAAUUGAUGCUAAGAAACAUCAUAUUAUUGAAAUUGGGUACAGCAAAAAAGAUAAUAACAACGAAAAAUUAACAAAAAGCCAGAAAAAAAGAAAAAGGAGAAAGAAAAGUGGAAAUGGGGAAAUUACAAAAAGUGCAUCAGGUGAUAAAACUAACAAUAGUAUUGCAACUGAUAACACAAUCGGUGAUAAUUUUAUUCAUGGGGCGACCACCAAUAAUCCCGCUACAAAUAAAUUAAAAGUGAAACAGCAGAAAACAGCAAAAAGUAAUUUGGUCAUAGUUGAACAACAAGAUAUUGAAAUAUCCGUUCCAACUAAUGCAGAAUUGAUUGAAAUUAAUAAUGAACUACAUUCAAAAGAUAAAAAUACAAAAGGAAAAGCAAUUAGAAGUACUCAAAGUGUUUCAGCAUUAUUCUAUGAUGCAACUGAUUUUUUGUGUCGGGUUGAACAGACAUAUGCAGACGCCUUAAAAAGCCCCAAAGUAGAGAAAAUUGAAGCCCCUGCUUUACAAGUAAUAAAUCAUGCAGGACAUCUAUACAGCACUGAAGGUUUAACGAAAAAAGAAAAACAAUACUUGAGAAAAUCAUUAUGGAAGAUUUGCCGAAAAAGCGUAGUUUUUGAUGGUACAAGUGAAGAUUUUUGGGAUCAGGAUAAUCAAAAGCCUCGGACAUUUGGUGAUUUUAUUAAUUUUAAGUUUUAGUAAUUUUAACUAAGUAAAUGUCAUCAGUUUUUUCACUUCAAUAACAGGAUUCAUAAGAUAAGAUAAACGUUUGCUUUUUUUUGUUAAGUAUGGGUAACAUACAUAGAAAUAAUGUGGCAAAACCAAAAAGAUUUGAUAUAAAGAUAAUGUUAAAUGGGAUGUGUUUAAAUGAGUGCCUUAAAAUGUAUUAGUAUAAUUUUAAAUAAUUUGUAGUAUGUAGGGAUAAUGUACAGAAUUAACUUUU